AUUGAACGCUGGCGGCAGGCUUAACACAUGCAAGUCGAGCGGGGUGAUGGUGCUUGCACUAUCACUUAGCGGCGGACGGGUGAGUAAUGCUUAGGAAUCUGCCUAUUAGUGGGGGACGACAUCUCGAAAGGGAUGCUAAUACCGCAUACGUCCUACGGGAGAAAGCAGGGGAGCACUUGUGACCUUGCGCUAAUAGAUGAGCCUAAGUCGGAUUAGCUAGUUGGUGGGGUAAAGGCCUACCAAGGCGACGAUCUGUAGCGGGUCUGAGAGGAUGAUCCGCCACACUGGGACUGAGACACGGCCCAGACUCCUACGGGAGGCAGCAGUGGGGAAUAUUGGACAAUGGGGGGAACCCUGAUCCAGCCAUGCCGCGUGUGUGAAGAAGGCCUUAUGGUUGUAAAGCACUUUAAGCGAGGAGGAGGCUCUUUUGGUUAAUACCCAAGAUGAGUGGACGUUACUCGCAGAAUAAGCACCGGCUAACUCUGUGCCAGCCGCCGCCGUAA
rnacentral:rRNA from 1 species